AGAGUUUGAUCAUGGCUCAGAUUGAACGCUGGCGGAAUGCUUUACACAUGCAAGUCGAACGGCAGCACGGGGGCAACCCUGGUGGCGAGUGGCGAACGGGUGAGUAAUACAUCGGAACGUGCCCAGUCGUGGGGGAUAACGUAGCGAAAGCUACGCUAAUACCGCAUACGAACUCUGGUUGAAAGCGGGGGAUCGCAAGACCUCGCGCGAUUGGAGCGGCCGAUGGCAGAUUAGGUAGUUGGUGGGGUAAAGGCUCACCAAGCCGACGAUCUGUAGCUGGUCUGAGAGGACGACCAGCCACACUGGGACUGAGACACGGCCCAGACUCCUACGGGAGGCAGCAGUGGGGAAUUUUGGACAAUGGGCGCAAGCCUGAUCCAGCCAUUCCGCGUGCAGGAUGAAGGCCCUCGGGUUGUAAACUGCUUUUGGACGGAACGAAAAGGCCUUUUCUAAUACAGAGGGCUCAUGACGGUACCGUCAGAAUAAGCACCGGCUAACUACGUGCCAGCAGCCGCGGUAAUACGUAGGGUGCAAGCGUUAAUCGGAAUUACUGGGCGUAAAGCGUGCGCAGGCGGUUAUGUAAGACAGGUGUGAAAUCCCCGGGCUUAACCUGGGAACUGCAUUUGUGACUGCAUAGCUAGAGUACGGUAGAGGGGGAUGGAAUUCCGCGUAGCAGUGAAAUGCGUAGAUAUGCGGAGGAACACCGAUGGCGAAGGCAAUCCCCUGGACCUGUACUGACGCUCAUGCACGAAAGCGUGGGGAGCAAACAGGAUUAGAUACCCUAGUAGUCC
rnacentral:rRNA from 1 species